rnacentral:rRNA from 1 species
GACGUAGGAUGCAAGCGUUGUCCGGAUUUAUUGGGCGUAAAGAGUUCGUAGGCGGUUUGUUAAGUCUGAUGUUAAAGACUGGGGCUCAACCCUGGGAUGCGGGUGGAUACUGUCGGGCUCGAGUCCGGAAGAGGCGAGUGGAAUUCCCGGUGUAGCGGUGAAAUGCGCAGAUAUCGGGAGGAACACCAAUGGCGAAGGCAGCUCGCUGGGACGUGACUGACGCUGAGAACGGCGAAAGCGUGGGGAGCAAACAGG